UACGGGGGGAGCAAGCGUUGUUCGGAUUUACUGGGCGUAAAGGGCGCGUAGGCGGCCUCCGCAAGUCGACUGUGAAAUCUCUGGGCUUAACCCAGUACGGUCAGCCGAUACUGCGGGGCUAGAGUGCAGAAGGGGCAACUGGAAUUCUCGGUGUAGCGGUGAAAUGCGUAGAUAUCGAGAGGAACACCUGCGGCGAAGGCGGGUUGCUGGGCUGACACUGACGCUGAGGCGCGAAAGCUAGGGGAGCGAACGGG
rnacentral:rRNA from 1 species